CAGCAUUAUCGAAGCUUGCUUGAUAGAUGGCGACCGGCGCACGGGUGAGUAACGCGUAUCCAACUUCCCCUUAGUAGGGCAUAGCCCGUAGAAAUGCGGAUUAAUACCCUAUGUUGUAUUAUGAGGACAUCUGAAAGAUACCAAAGGUUUACCGCUAAGGGAUGGGGAUGCGUCUGAUUAGGUUGUUGGCGGGGUAACGGCCCACCAAGCCAUCGAUCAGUAGGGGUUCUGAGAGGAAGGUCCCCCACAUUGGAACUGAGACACGGUCCAAACUCCUACGGGAGGCAGCAGUGAGGAAUAUUGGUCAAUGGGCGAGAGCCUGAACCAGCCAAGUAGCGUGCAGGAUGACGGCCCUAUGGGUUGUAAACUGCUUUUAUACAGGGAUAAAGUCGGGGACGUGUCCCCGUUUGUAGGUACUGUAUGAAUAAGGACCGGCUAAUUCCGUGCCAGCAGCUGC
rnacentral:rRNA from 1 species